AAUCAUCAACCUCAUCGUGGGGCUUGGACUUUGGAGCGUGCUGGCCCCUGAGGUCGGCUCCUCUUUAAAUGCAUCAGCGGAAAGCCAUUGAUGUUUCCCGUCAGCGUGAUAAUCCUGUUGCGCUGCUAGGUCACGUCGGGGAUCCGCUUAUAAUGGUCUUCGGACGAUAUCUA
rnacentral:misc_RNA from 1 species